rnacentral:rRNA from 1 species
GAGUUUGAUCAUGGCUCAGAUUGAACGCUGGCGGCAGGCCUAACACAUGCAAGUCGAGCGGAUGACGGGAGCUUGCUCCUUGAUUCAGCGGCGGACGGGUGAGUAAUGCCUAGGAAUCUGCCUGGUAGUGGGGGACAACGUUUCGAAAGGAACGCUAAUACCGCAUACGUCCUACGGGAGAAAGCAGGGGACCUUCGGGCCUUGCGCUAUCAGAUGAGCCUAGGUCGGAUUAGCUAGUUGGUGGGGUAAUGGCUCACCAAGGCGACGAUCCGUAACUGGUCUGAGAGGAUGAUCAGUCACACUGGAACUGAGACACGGUCCAGACUCCUACGGGAGGCAGCAGUGGGGAAUAUUGGACAAUGGGCGAAAGCCUGAUCCAGCCAUGCCGCGUGUGUGAAGAAGGUCUUCGGAUUGUAAAGCACUUUAAGUUGGGAGGAAGGGCAGUAAGUUAAUACCUUGCUGUUUUGACGUUACCGACAGAAUAAGCACCGGCUAACUCUGUGCCAGCCGCCGG